UAGUUUCAAGACUUAUUAGUCACCACAAGUUAAUUCCUCUCGUUUAGUCAUUUCUUUAGUAAUGCUCACUGCACAGCAAUUCAAGAUUUAGAAUUUCUUCAAAUUGAGUGAAGAUUUUGGGUGGGUCUCAUUUAGAUUGGCUUUAAUUUUCAUGUAUACAUUGAAUUCUCCAUGAAACCAUAAGCUCCUUCCCUCUAGUUUCAGUUGUUUCUAUUUCAGGGUUUCGUCGCUCUAAUGCAUGUGGUUUUCAGAUCCCUUUUCUUCAGUUUGAACUGAUUACUUAACUUUCGUUCUGGUAUAAAUGAUCUUCUUUAAAGGUCGAUGUAUCUGCAUAUUUCAUUCUCGUUUCUUAGUUUCUUAAAAGAAUGAAAGCUUCCUAAAGGCAUAAUUGACUAAAAAAGCUAUCUUGUCAUAGAUCUGUUUCCUUUUCAUCUUCAUCUCUGUUUAUACUUGGUCACAAGUUUUAUUGCUUUAAAUUGAGAAUUAAUGGUGCUGCUGGAAAAGUUAAUUUUAACUUUAAAUUUGGAAUAAAACUUUGGUUGAUGUGAUUCUGUUUUUUCUGCUGAAAAUUGAUCUUUUUGGUGGAUUUCUAUUUUCUCUUGUGGUUUUACCUUCCUAUGUUGAAAUGUAGCUAAUGUUCUUGGACAUAACAAACUAUGAGGGGCUUGCUGGC